rnacentral:rRNA from 1 species
UGGCGGCACGCCUAACACAUGCAAGUCGAACGCAGUAGCAAUACUGAGUGGCAAACGGGUGAGUAUAAUGUGGGAAUCUGCCUUUUGGUUUGGAAUAACACGGGGAAACUUGUGCUAAUACCGAAUAAGCCCUUACGGGGAAAGUUUUAAUGCCGAAAGAUGAGCCCGCACUUGAUUAGCUAGUUGGUAAGGUAAAAGCUUACCAAGGCAACGAUCAAUAGCUGUUCUUAGAGGAAGACCAGCCACAUUGGGACUGAGACACGGCCCAGACUCCUACGGGAGGCAGCAGUGGGGAAUCUUGCACAAUGGGGGAAACCCUGAUGCAGCGAUGCCGCGUGAGUGAAGAAGGCCCUUGGGUUGUAAAACUCUUUCGUCGGGGAAGAAAAUGACUGUACCCGAAUAAGAAGGUCCGGCUAACUUCGUGCCAGCAGCCGCGGUAAUACGAAGGGACCUAGCGUAGUUCGGAAUUACUGGGCUCUAAGAGCUC